rnacentral:rRNA from 1 species
UUUCCCUUAGGAUAGCUGCAACCGGUUAAGAGCUUUAUCAGGUAAAGCGAAUGAUUAGAGGAUUCGGGGACGGAAUGUCCUCGACCUAUUCUCAAACUUUAAAUGGGUAAGAACCCGGGGUUGCUUAAUUGAACCCUGCGGUCGAAUCUCGGUUGCUAGUGGGCCAGUCCGGGUAAGCUGGACUGGCGAUGCGGGAUGAUCCGAACGCUGAGUUAAAGUGCCUAACUGCUCGCUCACCUAGAUCCCACAAAAGGUGUUGGUUCAUCCAGACAGCAGGACGGUGGCCAUGGAAGUCGGAAUCCGCUAAGGAGUGUGUAACAACUCACCUGCCGAAUGAACUAGCCCUGAAAAUGGAUGGCGCUCAAGCGUGCUACCCAUACCUCGCCGCCUGGGUAGAUGCGACGCCCAGGCGAGUAGGCAGGCGUGGAGGCCCGUGACGAAGCCUUGGGGGUGACCCCGGGUAGAACGGCCUCUAGUGCAGAUCUUGGUGGUAGUAGCAAAUACUCAAAUGAGAACUUUGAGGACUGAAGUGGGGAAAGGUUCCGUGUGAACAGCAGUUGGACACGGGUUAGUCGAUCCUAAGCCAUAGGGAAACUCCGUUUUAAAG